UUCGGUGGCGAAAGCGGUGGGGUCACACCCGUUCCCAUUCCGAACACGGCAGUUAAGCCCGCCAGCGCCGAUGGUACUUGGGCGGAGACGCCCUGGGAGAGUAGGACGCCGCCGGAU
rnacentral:rRNA from 3 species